GCUUGCUUUCUCAAGCGAGUGGCGAACGGGUGAGUAACGCGUGAGGAACCUGCCUCAAAGAGGGGGACAACAGUUGGAAACGACUGCUAAUACCGCAUAAGCCCACGGCUCGGCAUCGAGCAGAGGGAAAAGGAGCAAUCCGCUUUGAGAUGGCCUCGCGUCCGAUUAGCUAGUUGGUGAGGUAACGGCCCACCAAGGCGACGAUCGGUAGCCGGACUGAGAGGUUGAACGGCCACAUUGGGACUGAGACACGGCCCAGACUCCUACGGGAGGCAGCAGUGGGGAAUAUUGCACAAUGGGGGAAACCCUGAUGCAGCGACGCCGCGUGGAGGAAGAAGGUCUUCGGAUUGUAAACUCCUGUUGUUGAGGAAGAUAAUGACGGUACUCAACAAGGAAGUGACGGCUAACUACGUGCCAGCAGCCGCGGUAAAACGUAGGUCACAAGCGUUGUCCGGAAUUACUGGGUGUAAAGGGAGCGCAGGCGGGAAGACAAGUUGGAAGUGAAAUCCCAUGGGCUCAACCCAUGAACUGCUUUCAAAACUGUUUUUCUUGAGUAGUGCAGAGGUAGGCGGAAU
rnacentral:rRNA from 1 species